rnacentral:lncRNA from 1 species
GAGAGCGUCUGAGUAGCAGAGACAACAUUACUUUUGCCUUUUAGGGGAAAAUGCCAAACCAAGAUCCAUUAUUUUACUAACGGAUUGGAUUGAUCCUUUGAAUUCCGUGUAUAUGUUUUGUAUAGGCUAUAUGAUAUUAAUGUGAGAAUACUUAUCAUUUAAAAGGUUCACAGUGUGGACCAAACCGAGGACCCCGUACCGAACGGUUCAGUAUGAAUACGUGUACCAUUUCACCCCUACAACCUAUGUACAAUUGCACAGUUGGUUAGGGCUUGUAAGUAAGCAUUUCACUGUUGUAUUCGGCGCACGUGACAAACUUUGAUUUGUAUUGAACAAUUAUAUUGCAAUGUAUACCUUACCCCAUUUCAUGACCAAGAUCCAUAGGUAUCAGCCUACUCAGUGACACCCACAGAUGACACUUCUGAAGUGUUUACACAGAUAUUAGCAUUAUAGCGCAUAUUAGUUAACUGUUGGAAAUCUUCUCACUAUACAGUGUUUAGUCUCGCAAUAAGAGCUACGACGCUAAUAUUUGUGUGAACUCUUCAGAAUUGUAAUCUGUGGAUGUCACCGAGUCAGCUGAUACCUAUGAAUCUUUGGUCCUUAAAAUGGGAUAAGGCUAUACAGUGCAUUCAAAAAGUAUUCA